UACGGGGGGGGCAAGCGUUGUUCGGAAUUACUGGGCGUAAAGGGCUCGUAGGUGGUCAACUAAGUCGGACGUGAAAUCCCUCGGCUUAACCGGGGAACUGCGUCCGAUACUGGAUGACUUGAGUUCGGGAGAGGGAUGCGGAAUUCCAGGUGUAGCGGUGAAAUGCGUAGAUAUCUGGAGGAACACCUGUGGCGAAGGCGGCCGCCUGGUUGGAUACUGACGCUGAGACGCGAAAGCGUGGGGAGCAAACAGG
rnacentral:rRNA from 1 species